GUUGCGGCGGCAGGUGGGAGGAGGCACUGCAGGAGCGUCCCGCGGGAGGGAGGCUACACGGAGGGUGUUGGUGGUAAUCGAGUGGAGUCCACGGCAUCGGCGCGGCGCGCUACCACGAAAAAAUCGUCCGCCGCUACUGGGGCUCGAGAUCUCCGGCUGGAGGAUAGGAGGAGGAUGCACGAGCCCGGGAGUCAGCGACGCCUCGCAGUUCCAGCCGGCGGUAGGUGACACCGUCCUCCUCCUUCCUCGCGCUGGAAGGCGGCGGAACAGCCAUCCGUGGAGAUCGAGCGCGUGGAAGGCCGACGGCUCGGGAGUGGGUACGACAUCAUCUUUCUUCCAUGGUUUCGCCUUUCUCCUCUCUUCUGAUGUGGGUUGGCCACAUGCCGUUCUUGCGCCGGUGAUGCUGUCGUUGAAGGCCUGGUUCAAGUGGAAGGAUUUAGGAGGGUUGGAGGUGAGCGCCCAUCUCCUUGGCUAUUGGUGACAUUUAGCUGAUAGGGAACACACUUGUUGGGCAGGUCGCCGGCUCACAGCCAAGCUCGAGUUCAUGGUAGGUGACCUGGCUCUGCUGCUAAGCCCCCUCCUCUUUCUGGACUGGCAUGAUCUGUUCUCCUGUAUUUGGAUUUGAGGUGAAGAUUUUUAUCUCUGCUGCUGCUUUCGGGGUUGUGCAGGAUUGGAUACAGCAUGGUCAAUCUCUACUUUUUUUUCCAUGUCCAUCAUGUUGUUUUAAAAUUAUUGCCACAUUUGCCUUGCAAUUAAGUCAAAACUAAGAAAGAACAUUUGUGUAGAAAAGUUAAAUUCCACUUGAUGGUGAAAAUUUCAGAAAAAAUCGCAUCUACUUAUUUGUUAUUAUGUCCACGGGAAAUGAUUUUUUAUGCCUCCAUGGCGAGUGUCAGUGGAUACAUCUGCUCGCCGGCGCUCCAUGGUGAGCGGAAGUGGUGGCAUUAUGUCAUUUGCGUUUCAGAUUAUCAGGCUGAAGAAGCUACAGAAUCAGCUUUUAAGGAUGGAAAACGACUAUUGGUGAGUGACUUGAGCAUUAAUCUAAUUAUUUAGUUGCAUUUAAUGUUCUUCCUUUUAUUUCAAUGAUUUUCUAUGCAAUAUAUGACAUGAACUAAAGUUUCCUACAACAGGACUACCAUCUGUACUAGGUUGUUAUUUGUCAGGUGAAAAGGUUCUUGUUUGUUUCUGUUCAGCUGAUGGCGAGGGUGCAAUUGAGAUGACAAGAACAUGCUUCUCAUUACAGAAUUUUGUGAUCACUUUGUACCUACAGAGAAAGCGACCCAGACAAAAAAGCAGAGGGUUUGCUGCAGCACUGCUGGACGUCGAGAUAGUUUUAGUUUGGCUGGUUCAGACCUGAUCCAUUGCCUCCUUCAUGCUCCAGACUAAGCUCUUCAUCAAGCAGAUAUGAUGCCAUUGGCCAGCAUGACGUUCCAGUACCUUAUGGGUGAGGAAAGGUGAUAUAAAGAUCUAUCCAGAUGAUGGCAUUCGAAGGAGGCCGGGUGUCCCAACCACAACGAGAGGAGGAGGAUGCCGUGCGGUGGGAUUGAGGCCAUUCCCCCUUUGAUUUCUUGAUCCCCAGUCUGCUUUAAUUUGGGUCCUGUUUUUAGGUUUGAUUGUUGGUGCUGUGGGUUGGUUACCACAUCAACAUGGUUGCUUCCUCGUGGGAACUAUCGAGCACCACCACGCCUCCCUCCCAUCAAGCACCACUAAGGCAGCAAGAAUUUGGGGGAGAAAAAGUAACCUUCAUGAGCUUCUGAAGUGUUACAUUGAUAUAGCUGAUGAUGAUGGGAGAAAAAGUAACGUCAAACGUCCCUCGGACUUAAUGCAACCAGAUAAUAUGGAGCGACACAAUUUCCACAGGCACAUCUUGGGGAGAGACGCCUGCCACAGCUUGGGGAGAGACGCCCACAUCGAUCUACUACAAGCUUGCUCGAUGCCAAUGUUGUUUAGGAUGAAACAGUUGGCUUCUAAAAUGGCAAGCAACUUGUUGAUGCAAUUUUGCAAUGGGUUAAUUUCUGAAGGAUGCUAGAGAAUACUUGGUUCGAUACUACAUGAUGGACAAGAUGAAGGAUGUAGCGCAGCUGAAGGUCUGGUGGAUUUACUGGAUACAUUGCUUGUUUGGGCAAUACUGGUAAAACAUAUCUUGGAGAGAUUCCAUCUGAUGCAUGUGUUGUUGAUCAGACUACCAUGGUAUAUCUCUUCAUUUCUACCAUGGACAGAUAUGUAAUGGAAGAUAUAUUCUUGUUUUACUCACUACUUUCGUAUGUGCUACUAGAUGGCUUACACCCUUCUUUCAGAGAUAUAUGAAGGGGACAAAUGGUAGGAUUUUGUGUGCUAUGUGCUUAGUUUGUACUCCACCCGAGAUUAAAGUGCAGAGGCUGCUGUCCCUUGAAUAAUGUAUGACACGAUGCAAUACAAACCACUAUCGCUGAGAGCUCCGUUCCAUGGUGGGCUAUGUCAAAAUGAUCAUGCUCUUUGGGAAUGAGACACGGGCUGGUGACACAUUGCAAAGAAGUUUGUUCUCUAAAGCCUUUUGAAUGAGGGAACUCGGCCAUUUCUACUUAUCAUUUUGUCAAGGGAUCAGCAAUGAAAUUGGCAAUUACGCCAAGAUAGAGGCACAUAAGAAGAUGGCUUUUGGGAUCCUCCAGACCGGCGGUGGUGACUGCGAUGGCGCAUCGACGAGCUUGAUGAGAUGGCGCAUCAACAGGAAAAAAGUCAUGGGGACUCCCACUGUUCAUGAGGGGUUGCGUGAUACGGCCAUGGGGCAGCGACGGUCCACACAUCAAACGUAUCCGGGCUGUGCGCACAGAUGAUGUUGAGCCUCCGUGACCUCUAGGACCCAAGCAAGGCCAGCAGUGAUAGACGUGAACGCCAGGAUCAUUGCGGUGUCGCCUUUUGGUGAGGUGGUGGCCGCAAGUUGGAGCAAGCUCAUGCGAGCUGGGUGGUGCUAGAUGACACUAGCUUAUUUUCUUUGGUGUUCUUGGUGGUCUCCAAUAAUGCCCAGCGAGUUCGUUGUUAUCUAGGCAUAUGUAUUUGAUCUCCCUCUACUGCCGCAUAUCUCACCCUACCUGAUGCAAGUAGAAGAGACGAAGCACAAAUACAGAUUAUACAAGGUGUGUUGCUCUCGGACGUUUGAUGAAAUGAUUGUAAUAUAUUACUAAACAGCAGAGCUCUCUGGCUCUGCAUAUAUAUGGUGAUGAUUUUAGUGGGUCACAAGAUGUUGGCAGUAGUUGGGUUUUGUAUUCUACAAAAUAUCAGCAGCUUGUUUUAUCUUCAGUUGCGGUGCUUUCACGUUAUCAUGAAUUGUGGUCAAACUGUA